rnacentral:tRNA from 2 species
GGAGGGAUGGCCGAGUGGCUUAAGGCAGCGGUCUUGAAAACCGCCGAUGGGAAACCAUCCCAGAGUUCGAAUCUCUGUUCCUCCG